rnacentral:misc_RNA from 1 species
AAGUCGUAACAAGGUCUCCGUAGGUGAACCUGCGGAGGGAUCAUUACUGAGUGCGGGGGUUAGUUGUUCCCCCGACCUCCAACCCUUUGUGAACAUAUCUUGUUGCUUCGGGGGCGACCCUGCCAUCCGUGACAUUCCCCCCCGGAGGUCAUCAAAACACUGCAUUCUUACGUCGGAGUAAAAAGUUAAUUUAAUAAAA